AGUGAACGCUGGCGGUAGGCCUAACACAUGCAAGUCGAACGGCAGCACAGUAAGAGCUUGCUCUUACGGGUGGCGAGUGGCGGACGGGUGAGGAAUACAUCGGAAUCUACUUUUUCGUGGGGGAUAACGUAGGGAAACUGACGCUAAUACCGCAUACGACCUACGGGUGAAAGCAGGGGAUCUUCGGACCUUGCGCGAUUGAAUGAGCCGAUGUCGGAUUAGCUAGUUGGCGGGGUAACGGCCCACCAAGGCGACGAUCCGUAGCUGGUCUGAGAGGAUGAUCGGCCACACUGGAACUGAGACACGGUCCAGACUCCUACGGGAGGCAGCAGUGGGGAAUCUUGCACAAUGGGCGCAAGCCUGAUCCAGCCAUACCGCGUGGGUGAUGAAGGCCUUCGGGUUGUAAAGCCCUUUUGUUGGGGAAGAAAAGCAGCAGGUUAAUACCCCGCUGUUCUGACGGUACCCAAAGAAUAAGCACCGGCUAACUUCGUG
rnacentral:rRNA from 1 species